ensembl:ncRNA F56E3.11 ncRNA
GCUCAGGGGGGCAGGCUUGCGAGGCAAUUUCUGAUUGUCGGCGGCGUGCUGCUUGCCACCUCAUUAAUUCCGUGAUAUACUCUUGAGGUGCUUGUUGCCACUUGAUUACCUUCAUAAGUGUUAGCAGUUGAAGCAGGAAAGAUGGCUCAAAUGUUACAUCGAAAACCAUUUGUCA